rnacentral:rRNA from 1 species
GCAAGUCGAACGGCAGCGCGGGGAGCUUGCUCCCUGGCGGCGAGUGGCGAACGGGUGAGUAAUGCUUGGGAAUCUGCCCUGUAGUGGGGGACAACCCGGGGAAACUCGGGCUAAUACCGCAUACGUCCUACGGGAGAAAGGGGGCUUCGGCUCUCGCGCUAUAGGAUGAGCCCAAGUCGGAUUAGCUAGUUGGUGGGGUAAAAGCCUACCAAGGCAACGAUCCGUAGCUGGUCUGAGAGGACGAUC